UCAAAAAUUAAUGCUUUGAGGCUUAUCAAUUAAGUUAUCAAUUUUUCAGAUAAGCAAACUUAGUUUAUCCAUAUCGCCCCAAAUUUAAAACUUAAGCUUUUAUGAAUUUAUGAUGGUGAUAUUCACUGAAAAAUUAACGCUAUAGGGCUUAUCUCCAGACUUAUCAAUUUUUCAGAUAAGCAAAUUUAGUAUGCGAUAUGCGAUUGAUUUCGUUUCUUUAGUCAUACGUAUUUGGUUGUGCAUAAAUACUUCUACAAUAAUUUAGGGAAAUUCUGUAUUAUUUGCACCCAAUGACAACCACAAAAUACUUUAAAAAAUCUGAUGGAUAACUUGAUUGUGAACUGAUUGACAUCGCUGGUAAGACAGCUUAAUCAAAUUGAAUCGUAUUUACCGAAAUUAUUUGUUAGAACAUGAAUUACACUGUUGUUAAAUUUUAAUUGAAGGUUGCAAAUUGAGCGCACGGCAUCUACACAUUUUUCUUUUAAAUGGUUAUGGACAUUUGAAUACGUCCAUCUACAAGGGUACAAUAUCGCACAAUAACGCAGUAAGACCCCAUUCGCACCCUCACGUCACUUAUAUUCCUUCAAAUAUCACGCCGCAUAAUUGACGAAAUCUGUCGAUAUCAUAUUUGGAAACCCAAAAUAAGUGGCACGAACAGAAUAAUCUAUUACAUAAUUGUAUGGAGGAUGACGCUAGCAACAGCCUCCGAAAUUUUGGCAAAAUUUUUGAGGUGGUUCGAUACGCUUUUGAUAUUAUUCUUGAGAAUGCCCGAUGCCUUGAACAGGCCCCUUGCCUCCCUUUCCAGGUCGUCUAUUCGAGUUGCCUCACAACAGGAGAGAACAAUUACUAGGAAGAAAAUCCACCACGAAUUAAUUUUGGCCUGAAUUAUUUACCACAAUAGGCAAAAAAACAGUGCUUCAAUAUAAAAUGUCGUUCUUUUUAUGCUCGUGUCAAUCACUCGACAUUAAUUAUAUAUGUACAUUAACAUUAAUUAUAUAUAUUAUUUAAUUAUAUGGUCUUAGGGGUGCAUAGAUAUACAGGGUGGAAAUGUCUUAUUUGGACGCAAGAUAACCGGCCAUAAAGCUCCACUGGCGCGGUUAACAUUAUAUACGUUUUUAUUUUGAGUAAAUGAAUUGUGCAGCAUUCCAAAAAAAAUUACUUGACACGAAUUGGCUUAAAAAUGCCUAAGAAAUUGCCACCCGAAGUUGACCCACUGAUAAACCAGUUUUCCAAAGAUGGUUUGUCAUGUAGACAAAUUUCUGAUAAGCUCCGAGGGUCCGGAUAUAACGUGGGUCGUACGACAGUAUCUAAUGUGUUAAACAAAGUUGGAAUUUUGAGACAAUAUCGAAGUGCCGGUCUACCGAGCCGAAGAAGCACCAGCCCCCAAAAGUGGUAACCAGUGCCAUUAUUCGAAAAAUUGAUCUCCAGACCUAUAAAGAAACCCACCGAGCCAACGACAGAUGGGAAAACAAUUCGGGGUCUCUCACACCACUAUUGGUAAGGUCAUUCGACAAAAACUUGAGAAAGGUAUCAACAAAAAAGCCAGAUUUCACGUCCUAAAGGAGUGUCAUAAGCGGAACCGGAAAACGAACUGCAGAAAGCUGUACGAAAAUCAUCUGGCAAGGAAACAGUCCGAAUUAUGUGUUAUUUUGGACUAACACUCUUCAACCUUCAAGAUUGUAAAGGCUACAGUAAAAUAUAUUACAAGAAACCAGGGAAAUUUGACCCUGAAUUUGUGUUUCAGAAAAUUGAAAAGUUUUGCAACAAGUUUAUGGUGGUGGGUGCUUUAGGUGGGCGUGGCACCCUGCCACUCAUCCAAGUGCCCACCAAGGUUAAGAUUAACUUGUUGAGAAGGUUUUAAAACCUCUUUUGGAAAUUCAUAUUCCGAAGUUAUACCCAGGUCAGACCGAUAAUUUUGUUCGUCAUGACGCUGCCUCAUCGUUCACCUCCAGAUUGACGACCAAAUCUGCAGCCGAUCUAAAACAAAUAUUGGGAAUAGCCAUCAUUCCAAAAAGUGAGAUACCUGUAAAGAGUCCUCGUACUAGUCCCAUGGAUUUCUUUGCAUUUGGACUACUAAAACAAAAGCUUUAGUCGAGACGCGGAUGGGGUUUGGAAAGUACUUAAAGACGAGUGGAGCAAGAUCAGUGUUCAAGAUAUGGGAAAAGUGAUGAUUUCGUGGAAACGGCGACUGAGGGCAGUUAGCCAGAAGUCUGGGGAAGACAUUGAACAAAGAAAGCAAAUUCAUAAACGCCGGAUAAAAUUUUAAGGUCAGUUUUCCUGCCGUCCAAAUAAGGUGUUUCCACCCUCGGUAUUUGCACUGUGCAACAAAACGCACAUUUUUGCAUCGUUUGCAUUUAUGUGACCCGUGCACUUUUGAUACUAUGUGCAGACGAUAUACAUAUGUAAUCAACCAUCCUCAACAUACUCAAUCAUCUUCCUUCACUUUACUAAGCGAGGCAAGAUAUGUCGAAGUAGUAAAUACUGUUCAUAGUUUUAAUUGGAGGCAUAGAAAGGAAUGAAGUGUUACGUUCUUUGUAAAAAAUUUAUGUAUUCUGGCCAAGGAUGACUUGAAUUUUAAAUCUGCUUCAUCCCCGGACAUUCUAACGGUAUGAAUAUGAAUUGUGCUCACAUCGCAUUUCUAGGGUAAGAAGUUGUCAAUUAAACGGCAAAUUCGUGAUAAGGUGUGACAAAGUGUGGCCAUGCUACAGCUUAUAUUAGUUACGGAUAUGUACAAAGCAAAACAUAAACAAAAAAAAUGCAGAAGGGACUCAAUCCACCAAAAUACUUCUUUUCUCCGAACCCUUAUGGUUUUAUUAUACGUAGGUUACAAGGUAUGUACUAGAUACGUAGGUUUGGUUAAAUCCAAUCAUGAAUGGCGCUGGUAUGAAGUACGAUUUUAUUCCUGUAAAUAUUUGGGGAAUUGUUAGUAUACAUAUAUUUGUAUAAAUCCCAUUGUUUUCCCCGGAAUUACUACCUGUUUUCUCUUCAUAGCUCCACAUCCAUGCCGUACCCGCUGUAACCUUGACUACGAUCGGAGUGAAUUUGCCGGUAGCCGUCAUCGUCAUUAUUAUUCUUAUCAUCUCAUGCUAUUUGUGCAGCAUGCCGUGACCAACCAAGUUUCUUACGUACGCGCAAACCGUAGCACAACCUCUGCGGACCUGGUCCUAGUGGACAAACCAGCCACUCCACCCAUGCGACUUCUGGUCCGCCCAUGAGGGCGAGCAGGGUCUGCUUUUCCUUGGGGAUGAAGCUUAAGCAGUCCCAUUUACGCAUGAGGAUGGCUUGCGCCACACGGCAGGAUUUGUCAAUAUUUAUAUGUAUCAGUGAUGGGUGCCUCCGCAUCCCAAAUUAUAUGGUCAAUAGUACUUACCCCUGUCCAAACAGGCUGCACAUUGGAUCAACUCUCCGAAACCGAGAGUUAGUGAGGGCAAUUGCUGUGUGCUAGGAGCACUGAAAACAACAAAGCCAAUUUUUUAAAAUUAAUUUUACAUUGCUAAUUAUUUCUUUUCUAUUUAAAGAGUGUGUAAUAGCAAUAUAAGAUUUUGAAUCAAGUUUGAUACCCGGAUAGAGCGAGCAGGAGCAGCCCCACAGUGGUUUUCAGCAUCUUGAAUUGUGGCUUGGUUAAGGGGAUGAGCUGAUUGGCUGUUGGGAAGUAAAUGGAAUUAAUUUGAUUGAAUUAUGAUCUUUUUGGCGCUAUUAUCAUUAGUAUGUGCAUUGUUAGCAUUACUGCUGCACAUCCCUUGAAUAAACUCAGUCUCAGUGAUGGGGGACCCAUGUCCCCCAUCAUGAGGGACACCAGCGUCUUCUUCUACGCCGGGAAGAAGUCCGCGCACUCCGGGUGAAGAUGGCAUGUGUGAUCCGGCAUGGAUCCUGCAAGUUUAAAAUAGAAUUUUAUUAAUCAUGUAUACUAAUUAAUCGUCUGUUCUAGCUACACUUUUAAUAUACGCGUAAUUAUUAUAAAUGUAUGCAUUGUUCUUACGUCCAAGAUGGCCUCCACGUGGGCGCCGCUCCCCCGUGGGUGGACCUGUUCCUCGGCUUCCCAGACCGCAUACGUGUUGUCUGGAAUUAAAUUUUAAUGCUAUGAGUACGGUUACAUUAUGCGUCUAGUAAAUAAGCAGCAGUAAAUAAGAAGAACUUACUCCGUUGGAUGCAGCCUAUGCAGGCCGCCAUCUCACCCAUCCCGAGCGUCACGGCCGGAUAAGGCAUUGUAACUGCCUGGCUGCGGAAACAAAUAAUUUUCAAAAUCAUUGUUAUUGAUCAUUUUAAUUUUUUAUACAUUAAACCAACAGCAAUUUUAAUUUUUCUUUUUGUUACCUUCCUAUGAUGCCAAUAAGUACGAAGGAGAGUAGAGUUGUCAUCUUCUUCUUGUGUGUGAGAGGACCUUGUGUAGUGCUGGAAGAAUAAUUAUUACUUAGUACUGAUGUCUUGUCGUAAUUUAUAUGCUGUUAGUCGUAUAUUCCCUGUGCUUUAAUUAUUGCUGUGCAAGCAUGGCGUAAACAAGUUUUAUUUACUUACGAAUUUGUUUUUCUUGAAAAUCGUGCUAUGUAUGUCCUGACUGAUUUGCAUGGAUUUGUGCUGUUUCAGCAGGGCAAAGCUUCAGGAUAAGUUUUCAGUGGUUUUCUUAUUUAUUUAGUUAAGUCACUUCACUUUGCUGUGUCAGCAGGGUAGUUUUCACUAGCCUUUAUGUUCAGUCAUAUACAUACAUAUAUAUAAUAUUGAAGGUAUCCGCUACAACUACUUAUUAUAUAGUUAGUAAUUAAUCGCUAUUAAGAGCGUUGAGCUCUUUUUGUCGUCGGGAGUCUUAGCCCUAUAGGCAAAAAUUAUUUAAAAGUUAUUGGCGUACAGUUUGCAAACUCCGCAAUAGUUGCUGGAGAAUAUUCCUGUAUUUGGCUAAUUACUCAGUUUACUGCUUGCAGUUCUGAGGUCGGUGAAACAGACCGACGAAAUCGAGCAUACUGCUCGUAAAUAAACCUUUCACACCAUAUAUUGGUGUUGUAUCGUGGGCACCGAUACCUUAAAUCCCACAGAGGGUCGUUGACUAAAUCAGAAGUCAUUCUGCACCUUAUUGUUCUUAAAAUGUCUAUUUUAAACUGGUAAGAGUGUCAUUCUGUAUUUAGGCGUGUGUGUAAUUUUUGUCGUACUAAAUUAAUCAAUUUAAAAAAAAACAUUUACUUUUAUGCUGUUGAAUCCACUUUUUUUGGUGCACUACACUUGUUUGUACUAAUAGGAGUCAUUUUUAAGCACACAUUAUGUUAAAUAUCACGGUACGUACAUCUUUCUCUAUUUUCUUAAUUAUGUUCUGUUCACAUUUGGUUGAAAUUACUAGUUUAUCCGCUUUUGUGGGGCUAAUUAUCACUACUUUUCUUGUGGUGUCAGUUGUAAGGAUUUCUUUUGGUUUGCAUUUAUGAUUAUUAAAAAAAUCCUUCGUUGUAUAUACCUUAUGGCAAUUCAAACAAAAAUAUUUUCUUUCUACUGUCACGAUUAUUUUAUACUGUUUCGCUACCCAAUGUUCCCCUAAUUCCUUUCGUUUACCAGCAAAAGGUUUUUUUCAUGGUUUACAUUCCUCUUCCCCUUUUUGGUGUGAUGCAGUUGGCACAGUUGUAUUUUCGUUAUUUUCGACACUUGGAGAAAGUCCCUCGUCACUUUUUUCACUUAUGUUGUUUUCACUUUCACCAUUAUUGCUUAUACUACUAACUAAUUGAUCUAGCACGUGUGUAGUUUCUAUAGAGUAUGUUUCCUUAUAUAUACGUCUUAACAAGUUCACGACACUUUGAAUUAGUUCAAUGUCAAGGGGAACUUGCAUUUUUCUUUGUUAUUUUAAAUAUUAAACUCGUGGAUUUUUAUUCCAGUCUGGACUGGGAUAUUAUAUGCUGCAGCUGUGUCAGCACUUUUUAUGUAUGUUCCAGUCAAUACUGGAAGUUGUGCUACAAUUCACGAUGGUUUUGUGAGUUUUAUGCUUGUUUCAACUUUUAUACUGUCUGUUACCGUCUUUUUCGUCCUAUCCUAUAUAGUGGUUUGUAUGUUUAUUCUUUAGUAUGCGUGUCUUUUAUUCUUGGAGUAGACAGUACUCUCCUACUUCCCUACAUUUGCAGUAGUAUUGCAGUUUGAACUGCAAAAUAGUGGCAAACUGUGUCAUUUCUAGAAAUAAUCAAUAUUUCCUCUAAUAGUGUAACAGUGCAGUGGAUUUUACCACGACAAAUAAUAAAUUGCGUUACAUAUGUUUAGUUGGAUUUCUGUUAUAAGUACAUGUGCCUAUGUACUUUAUUCAUUUCAUUACGAUUUAUCGCUACUUUUAUAUAUAUAGCGUGUUUUGUGUUGGAAAAGCAUUGUAUUAAUCAUUUAAACAUUUAAAAUAAUUGUGAACAAUUAUUUUAUAACCGCGGCAUAGGGGGUGUUAGCAUUACUGCUGCACCUCCCUCAAAUAAAGUCAGUCUGGUGUUGCGAUCCGGGUGAGUUGGUUGUGUUCAUUACUUUCUCCGGCACACGCUGUUAAUUAAACAAAAAUUCAAAAAUUAGUAAUCACAGUAAAACUAUCAGGAUUAUAAGUAAGUAAGUAAGUAUUCUAAUAUCUGUAUUUCUGUUCUGUAUUUAAGUAUUCUACAAUAGCGACCAAUGAUAUUUAGAAUACUUACCUUCGUAAAUCAUACCCGACGGAACCUCCAGUGCCCAGAGUGGGUGGAUAUGGGACCUUACUGGAGUCGCUUGCGACUCCACAUUGCGACAGUGAGUAUGCAUCUGAACAACCGGCUUCUUCACCACGAUCUACUUCCCAAAUAUUGCUUGAGCCAUGGUUAAGCAAACUGCAAUGGUGAUUUGUUCACUCAGAUCGGUGGCUUAAUUAAUCAAUAAUCUGCCAUUUAGUGUAUAUACUCUGGUUUUAAAUGCAGUAUAAUAUAGUGCAGUGGUUUAUGCCACGAUUAAUACAGGUUAGUUAUAUAUGUUUGGUUAAGACCGUAGUGGUAAGAAUUGCGGUGCACGUACAUGAACUUCCACUGCAUCCAACAAGUGCAGUUCUUGCAGUAUUUUGUGCUAAAUUUUAUAAAGGACAAGUUAUUCAGUUUGAAAAGCAAUGUUACUUGUACUUUGUGUCUAACAAAAUUGUUAACAAUUUUUUUAAAACGCUAUGGUGGGGAUUGUUAACAUUACUGCUGCACCCAACAUACUAAAGUUAGUCUUUGGUUGCUAGUGGUCUGUGUCAGUCGUGUUUUGCUUACUCUCUCCGGGUAUUACGUCUAACAGAGGAGAAAGUUGUGUGAUGAGAUAUAUGACUCGUGUAAAGAACGUUGCCAGAACGUUUAUAUGCCUUGGCGAGUUACAUAUUAUGCAUAGUGUGGAUCACAUCCUAAUGGAACUAUGGUGGUAAUGGCAUACACGGCAGGUCUGUAAGAUAGAUAGAUUUAUUUCAAUGAAUCACCCCAAUUGGGUCCAAAGAUCUGUAAAAAAAACAAUGUUAUCAAUACAUAUGAGGUAUGUGUGUUGUCGCAAUGGCAAUGUAGUUGUAAUACAUAAUUGAAAUUUAUGACUCAGACAUAUGUCGACAUAUUAAAUUCCAUAGUGUGUCACAUGGGAAAUUGAGAUGAAAGGGUAAGGAAUUUUGCACCUUCUCAUCUUUUUUGUUAAUAAAACACCCAACAACUUUAAGCUUGUAAAAGGUGGCGAGAAUAUUUUUGAAGGACUUUGAAUCAAGUUGCUUAAAUAAAGAAAAUUCCACAUUUCUUAAUUCUUAAUGGCUAUUCCACGCAUAUGAGAAACAGCAAAUCCGAUGAUAAAUCGUUUGAACAUUGCAGGAUCCUUGUUGUGACCAAGUACACGAAUUACCAAUGCUGCUCCAAAAGUCAUAUUUCUGAUUAGUGCGCAGCGAAUUUCUGUUAAAAGAUACUUAAUUUAGAAUGGUAUUUAACAUACGCAAAUAAUUAAAUCGCUAAUAGAAAAUUUGUGGUGGUGAUCCUUAUUGAGAGGCAAUACAUUGUGUUGGCAGGCAAAUUGCUCCAAAAAAUUCUAAGGUUAGGAAGAUGUGUGAUAUUAUUGCCGUCCCUGCAACGUGAUGACCUGAUGAAAAACCUGAUAAAAAAUUACUCCAAAGCAAUCUCGGAGUAGUGAUGCCAACAUACAUAAUCACCUUAGCAGCGAGGCUUCUUCUUGUUCACCUGUAUAUGAUUUCUAUUAGAUUUCCCUUAUACAUGAUCCCAUUCAACAAUUGAAUGAAGUGGACAAAGAGAUAGUGAACUCCUUUUUGGGACAGUACAUCACCCUUUUUCCUAUACUGUGCUGACCACAGGAACAGUUGAUGUUAGCUUUAAUCUGUAUGAAGUCCUCGUCUCCCGCUUGAGUUAGUUUACACUUGAGAACGUAUAAGUUUAUCAUUACUGAGGAACCCUGUUGUGUUGACGCGUUUUUGUGACAACACAAAACCCAACUCCUUGUUCGCUUCAGUGCUUCGUGUGGGUUGUAGAUAUCCAAAAUAUUUAUAGUUUUUGGCAUUAUUUUUAAAAUGGAAACUUACCCUUCUCCAGUCAUGGAAUUUCCCAACAAACUGACCUGAGAAAUGUAAACCUCAGCAUUACAGAUAUUAUUAAACUCCAGUCAUGCAGAAGUCGAAGGAAAGUAAACAACUUACUUUUGUACAGACUGCAACAAUUGGUCGCAAAAAUUGAGCUCAGAGAUAUGUCAGAAAGAAAGAUUGUCCCCUCUCUUUCAUUUUGCAUGCUAAGCUUGUCAGCAUUUACAUAGGAGAACUGUGGAUUCAUUGAUUACGGCAAAUUUUGCAAAACUGUGUAUAGCUACAUAUACAGUACACGUAUGCAAGCACUUUUUUUUUUUAAAUUGCUUAAUUUCUGCAAUGCUGCAACUUCAGCAUCACUGGAGGUCGCCGUUUUUAAUUUUUUCACUACACCUUUGGAAGAUUUGCAGUUUUGGGCAGGUGCGAACUGACUAACUAGUUGUAGUAAAUCUAUCACUUGAUGUACUAGUACACUUUCCAAUUUAACUUUCACCAUUUCUAACGAAUUUUUACACUCAAUUCAACUCAGAGACCAAAGUCUCUGUAAACUGCACGAAAUUUUGCCAGCUUUUCCAUCAUUGGUUCAUGAUGGACAUCUGAAUGAUAGCUUCUCAUAUCAAUAUAGUGCAGGUACUCUAAAUGGCCUUUAAUGUGUAACGGGAGGUAUGAUGAUCCACACUUAGCUGUGCACUCAAGAUCAAUGUCUGGGUGGUCCAAGUUCAUAAUUAUUUGCAACGUUGUAGCUUUAGCUGGGAUUUGCAUAGACGUAAAGAAUGAUGCUUUGAGGCAUUCCAAGGUUGCUGUGGCAGGACAUCCAUCCGUUUCUAAAUGCAUGAAUAAAGUUGCACCAGCUCUGCAGUUAUGGCAUCCAUUAAUUUUAAUACUCGAGUCGUACUUUGUUCUUACAUUGAUUUAAGUUAAUGACGAAAUGACACGCAAUGCAACUCGCCAUACGAUAAUCCCUCAUGAUGUUUGUGUGGUGUAUAUAUAUGUAUCUACUCCCAACCACGAGAGUAGGGUGUCAGUCAGCUGCUGUGCAGCAGUAUUUAUUGUGCUUAAAAUUUAUACAAAACUGUAAUUUUGUUAGAAAAGCGUGUUUACAUUAAUUAUUAAUAAGUUAUUAACAACUUGUAUUUAUUUGUGUCUAGUGCAUAAUUCAUUUGUAAAUUUAUGAAUUAAAACCAGAGGGGUGUAGUGUCAGCAGUAAUGCUGAACCUUACCAUAAUAAAGUCUUCAGUCUUUGGUUGCAACUCA